UACGGGGGGGGCAAGCGUUGUUCGGAAUUACUGGGCGUAAAGGGCUCGUAGGCGGCCAACUAAGUCGGAUGUGAAAUCCCCAGGCUUAACCUGGGAACUGCAUCCGAUACUGGAUGGCUUGAAUCCGGGAGAGGGAUGCAGAAUUCCAGGUGUAGCGGUGAAAAUGCGUAGAUAUCUGGAGGAAUACCGGUGGCGAAGGCGGCAUCCUGGACCGGCAUUGACGCUGAGGUGCGAAAGCGUGGGGAGCAAACAGG
rnacentral:rRNA from 1 species